rnacentral:lncRNA from 1 species
AGUUUAUUUUUCUUUUUUUUUUUUUUUUUUUUUUUUUUUUCAAUCAAAUUUUAAGUCUAAUAUAACUCAGUGUGUGCUUUGAGCUUAAUCUGUUCAUAUACUUUCAUUUCUUGAUUUUAUUUUUGUCUUUCCUCUUACAUUACAAAGGUUUGAAAUACCUUCAAUAGACUGGUGCUUUCUGUUAAAUAUCUAAUUCCUAUGAGGAAUUUACCAUCAAAGCCUCUUCACUUAAUAGGUCUUAUUUUACUACGCAAUGACCAUACUGCUGGCUUUCUGACAUUUUACUUUAGUGGCCUUAUUAAACCCAUACUCUCAUACAUCCACACACGCAUACAAACAGCAUAGCAACAACUAUUAAAAGUACAAUAAACAAAGCAUACUGUAUAGUUAAAUUGUUGCCAAGAAUUUUUCAACAUUUGUUUCUUUCUAAGUUAUAUAUUACGGGGAAAAUGCAUUCCCUAGUACUUGCUCUGCUGUUUAAGUCCUUAAUUAUCUCAUUGCAGCAUAAAAUUAAUCUUGUAUUUUCAAUGUAAAAUAGCAGAAACAAUUUUCUAAAGUUAGAUGUUAGUAUCAUUACUCAAAAUUUUGGAGGCCCAGUUAAGUUUCAAUAGAAUUGUUUAUCAAUUUUCAAGGAAACACAAAUUACACUACUGUUUUAAGUUAUUCCAGGAUACUUUAUUUAAAUGAAAAGAAAGAAAAGGUGUUUAUUCCAUUUAGUGAUGUGAUUAAUUUGACAAAUAUCUGAACUGUCCAUAAUGGUUCACUGAUGUUCUGUGAUGUCUUAUGAAUUUCUGCCAGCCAAUCAAAUAUGAAUCGACAAAAAUGAAGCAAACCAACCAAAAUAUUAUAAGGAAAUGUAUUUAAAAUUGAAAAAAAAGUUAUUGAAGUAGGUUUGGAGAAAGCACUGUUUAAUAUGUGACAAAAAAAAAAGUGUAAAUUAAAAAGCUUCCAAUUUUGCUAAACCAUGAGACUGAUUCCAUAUUCACCUCAUUAUGUUGACUUCUUAAAUACUGGUAAUAUUCAUUUUCAUAUAGAUUCACCCAUAUGCAACUCAUUUAUAUCUUAACAACUAGAAUCUAAGAAUUUAUCGUUUGUGUAUUGUAAAACUGUGAUAAUCUAUGCUUUUUAAAAAGUUGAAAUUAUUUAAACUGCUUAAUCUGGACUUUCUAGAUAUAAAAAAAAUAUAUAUAUAAUUUUUAAAAAAGCAAAAAAAAAUUUUUUUUUUCUUUUCCACUCAAAAAUAUCUAAGAGGCAUUUUGAAUUGUAGCGAAAUGUUUCAUUUAUAGGAAGUCUUAGUUCCAGUAAUACAUAUCUCAUUAUUUUUAUUCUUCUGUUUCAAUUGGCUGUAACUAAUUCUGCUAACAACUACAGCUUUUCUAAAUUCAUCUAUUUUUCUUUAUCAUUGCCCUAUGGAUGAUAUUCUAAAAAUUAAAAAAAAAAAAGUAAAAAGCCAAAUUUUGGACAAAUCAUUGUCCCUCACUUUGAACCUUAUGCAUUUUAAAACAUCAUUCCUUUGAGUUAUUGGUCAGUAACUGCAAUGUCUUUUUUAUCUUGUUUUUUUUUUUCUAUCCUCUUCAUUUCUUUCUUCCAUUCCAUCCUUUUAUCUUCUAUGAGUAUUUCAUUGGUUAAAGGAGAAAGAAAAUUUGUCAACUGGCCCCUCAUGUUCUUAUUCUGCCUGUAUGUCUUUUAAAAUAUUUUGAUUAACAAUAACAACAAAUUCCUAAAUAUUGAUAAAGAAUAUCUUUGCAUUGGUGCUACUCUAAGGUUUCUUAUACAGAUCUUUUCCUCUUUUUACUUUAUUAUAUUUUGGUUAUAGGAACUCAUUAUUUUUCAUAUUUUACGAUUGUUUUGAGUUUUAAAGGGUCACAAACACACAUACACACACACACACACACAAUGGAAACAAAAAUCUAAAAUUCCUUGCCUUGAAAAUUAGUCAGCAGCUCUCUUGUGCCUAGCAGUUGUGAAGUUACAUUUCAUUGCUGAUCUCAUUAUAUUGCUUUUACCUCUAACUGUAUAGCCCUCUUUUACUAUAUCAUCCAGUUAGGCUAUCAUCUUGGUUGUAUGUUUUUUGUUUUGUUUUUUCUUUAAUUUUCUGUAGAGUUAACCUUUUGAAAUACGAAAUUUAUGUGUUAAAAAUAUUGUUGAAACAUUUUUAAUUUCUAUUUUCUUACUCUCUAAUUGAUAAAUAGAAAAUUGUGUCUUCUUUCCUGCCUUUUCCUUUUUUUUUUUUUUUUUUCUCUUGUAUUUGUUAGGGAAGGGCUGGGCCUGCAGCUGUUCUGAUCUUCAUGAGGGAAGAAUUACAAAAAUGUUCUAGUCUUUAUAUCCCAAUCUUUUAAACUGCUCCCAAUUAUAAUAUGAAUGAAAGCUGUUAAAAAAUACAAAAUUACUUCUCAGUAUAUUAAUAUACAAUGUAUGAAUAUCAGUGGUUUCAUUACAGGUGUGUGAAGUUGGUAAGAUACAUCAAAAGACUCCUCUGGAGCAUCAGUCAUAAUAGUGGCAAUGGACGGUUAAUAUAUAGUGUUAGAAUAAUAAAAUUCAUUUUUCUGUUUAAUUUCCAUUGCUUUAACAUUGAUAUUCUAUAUAAGCCUAUCUGAAAUUGAAUUAAAUUGAAUCAUGUUUAUUUAGGAAAAAUUCUAAAUCCUGCCAUCAUUCCACUAUCAAAUGACAAUUCUUAAAUGUUGAAAUUUCAGUCACUGCCCACUUUCUCUUCCACACAGUUUGGUUGUGGAAUAAGAACUUUGCUCUGUUUAUCCAUUUAUUCAGCUCAGAAGCUAGUAAGGAUCUCAGCUGAUGAACCAAUAAUACUUGCUGGUUUAAUUUUUUUUCUGUUCAGAGCAUUAAAAACAACAAAAAAGUCUAUGAAAAAAAUUUAAAAGACAUCAAGAUCUACUUAUUGUAGUUAUUGCCAAACUAUAUUACAACUUCUUUCAAAUCAAACUUAAUUCUGGUUUGUUUAUUUUCAUUCAAUAAAUUAAAUUUAUCAUUCAAACAAUGCAAAUAACUUUUACUGUAGAUAUAUAAAUACUCAAAAUUUAAAAUUAAAUAAAAAGAAACAAAAUCUGUCGUAAGCCUUCUAGUUUUAAAAAUUAUGCUCAAAUUAAAAGUAAGACAGUCAGAUUUUUUUAAUUGCUACCAAAAGCCUAUACUUUUCUCCUUUCAUAAAAAACAAAAAACAAAAAAAAAAAUGUUGCCAAUGUUCAAAUAUAAAACAUGUAAUAAGAGAGCUGUUGCUAUAAACCCACAAUGUUACUAUCAGUUUAAGAAGUUUAAUAUUUUCAAAAUUAUUAUUUGAACUCUUUCAUUCAUUUGAUAAGAUUAGACAUUAGUGACUCAGAAUAAGAUAACUGGACAGAAUGUCUUUCAGUAUUUAGUUUCAUCCUUCUGUAUUUGGAAUUCAAAUCCUGCUGGGAUCGACUUUACUUUUAUUUCUCCAAGAGUAAUUAAAAUAAGUAUCAAUCAUGUACUGUGAUUGACUUAAUUUACUAUAUUCCUUCCCUGCAAAAUUGUGGUCUACUACAAAUGUAAAACAUCAUUAGCUUUAUAAAGUUGGCAAAAUUCUAAGCUCAUUUUAAAAAUUAGUUGGAAUUUCAUCUUUUUCCCUCACAUUUUAUAUUUUAGUUUUUCACUGAAACUUGACAAUCGACUACUGAUUUGUAAUUAUGAUUAUCCUUUGGAUCCAAGCCAUUGUUCAUCUUUGUAUAGCAUUCUUUAAUUCAUUUUCUACACAUUUUUUAUUCUCUUCUUGCCUCACACUUGUCAUAAUGCUCUCUUUUUCUCUUUCUCAUAUGAUGCUAUUGACUGUCUCCCAUAUAUUUUCCUACCUUUGUAAGUUAGCAGAUAUUACUGUUGAGAAAGCCUCAUUAAUUACUUAGUUUUAUUUCUAUCAUUUCUUCAAUACUUGUGUGAUUAAACGUCGCUUAUUUUUGUAAAAUCACAUUUGGAAUUAGAAAACAUUUCAUUGGAAAUGCAUUAAAAGUUGGUUGUCUUAUGUCACAGUAUGGGAUUAUUUCUCUCAUACAGAGCUUCAAACAUUGAUCCUUUCAAAGUCCCUAAAAAACCUGAUCUGACCAAAAAUAUAUCCAUACUGGAGAUGACAUAGACAUACAUGUAUUUAUUUCAUAGGUUCAAAUUGGGAACAUUGAAUGCAUUUAUUCCUGUUACUAGGUUUAAAUGCUGGUCCAGACUACGGUAAUAAAUAUACUGCUCAAAGAAUAUGUGAAUAUUAGACAAAAAGAAAGCUUUCAGACAUGUGCUCCUGAUUAAAAGUUACUUUCAUUGAUCUCUUUGUCAUUUUGUAGUUUUAUCAACGACAUACUGCUAGAAGUAUUAUGAAAGAUGCUGUUCAGUUAUAUGUUAAGACGGUUCAUAAGUUAGAAUAUUGAUGAACUUCAAAUAUAAGCUGGAGUUGUGCAAUCAUUCUGCCUUCUCUCUCUCCAUUGUCUUUCAAGGACCAUAGCUUCCUUACUUCUUAUUUCUGUCAAAAUAAAGCCCUCAUAGAUACUGUGAUAGAAAGUUAUUAAUUAUUUUUACCAAUUUCAAUCAACUUACUUUCUGUUCUUGGGUUUUCUUAUUACUGUUAUUGUUAUUAUUAUGAGUACUUUCACGAGGGUGGUGUGAGGACUAAGACAGUAAGGCAUUGGGCUAAAUGCUUUACAGCAUAAAGUUUUGCCCCUUUUGGAUCUGAAUUCAAAUCCCACCGGGGUUGACUUUGCCUUUCAUCCUUCUUAGGUUGAUAAAAUAAGUACUGGUUAUAUUCUGGAUCAAUUCAGCCAACUGUAUAUCUCCCUUAAAAAUUUGGCUGUGUGCCAAAUCAAAAGAAAUCAAUUAUAUAGUAUCAUCAAUAUUAAUAACAUUUCUUUUUAAUGGAUUACUGGCUUUUUGUUGGUAAUUUGAGAAAUUUUUACAAAGAGAAAACUAGUCUGCUUAUCUAAUAUCUUUUCCAGUUCUGCCUUACUCUUAUUUAAAUAACAAGCUAAAUAUACUUGGAUAUUUAAUUAUUUAUUAUUGGUUUCUUUUCUCUUUUCUUUUAUUUUCUUUUUUUUUUGUUUUUGUUUUGGUGCUUUAUUUAUAGCUGAUUUCAUAUUAAGUUUACUUAGAAACAUUAGGCUCUUAAUUAUGAAGAAGCAAGGCAUGUGAAAGAAAUGUCAAAUUUCUUGAUUGGAAAACAUAUCUAAAGGAAGAGGAGGAGAAAAUCUUUUUCAAGUGAAGAGUAAUAUUUUUAAAAGUCAUAUAUUUCAAACGAAAAAAUAUAUACGUAUAUCUAUAUAAUAUAUCUUAUAAAGAUUUUUAAAAAGAUGUUUCUUUAUCUUUUUUUUUUUCUUUUAAGCUGUCCCAUCUGAAAAAAAAAUUAAUAUAAAAAUUGCUGUGACUUAUUCUCAUUAUCAUUUGUCAUUUAGUCACAACUAACAGUUCUUUACUGUGAUAAACAUUCUUAAAUCUUUUGAUGCUUCUGCUAGGGUGUCUUUGAACAUGUUGACAAAGAAUGAACAAAAAUAGAAUCAGUUAGAGGAGAAUGUUUGAAAAUUGGCUUUUGUUUCAAACAAUCUCAGAUUUUAAACAUAGGGCAUCAUUCUAUCAGCCAGGGUAUGUAUAAAAUAGAAAAUUUAUUGAACGACUGACUCUUAUUUAGGCAGACUAAGCAUUGUUCUUUCAUGUUAGUAAGAACAGAAUUUUAGAUGAUACUAAAAAUUUUACAUGGUCAGCAUGUAAUUUCCCUUUAUGCAGGCAAAACAUAUUAUCAAAUAUAAGGGGGGGGUGUUGUCAUUAAUAUUUUUAACAAUAUAUGUUACAAGUUUCCAUCCAGUGUAGCAUCAAGUUAUUUACUUUAUAUUCUUUUUCUAAAAAUUAUUUGCCAUCUUCAUUACUUCCUUUCUUUAUAAUUACCCAUUACCUUACCCCCCCUCCCCCCCCCAAAAAAAAGAAAGAAAAAACUCAAAAUUUAUUCCUUUUAUUAGCCUUUAUUAAAAUUUUGCUGGAAUGACAUGUACAAAACAUUGAUAUUUAUAUACCAUUCUGGCUGCACCACUGCUAUGAGGAAUCUAAUAUAACCAUUAUUUCUCCACCCUGUUUAUCUUCGACCUCUUCUUUAAAAAAAAAAAAAGCAUUUCCUGCCUUGCUUACAUGGAAUAAUGUGAAGCCUACUUUCUUCCAACAGCAACACCACCACUCCUCAACCCCAUCACACCUGCAAUACCAACGACAAUAAUAAUAGCAGUCCUGUUGCUCAUUUAAAAGUGAAAGUGCUUUAAAUACGGUAAUUGAAUUUUAAAAAGAAAAAUAUUGGAUGCAUUUGAGUAUGUGUGUAUGUUUAUGUAUCUAUAUGUAAUACAGACAUAGACACACUUAUGUAUCUAUAUGUAAUACAGACAUAGACACACUUAACUGUGGCUAUGAAAUAUAGAUAUGCCAAUUAGGGAUUAGAUAGUUUGAAGAAAAGACCUGAUUUGAUCAUUUCUGCUGUUUUUACUACAUAUUAAAAUUCCCCAUUGUUGUAGGAAAUACUACUAGCCUUUGAUUUUAUUACAAACAAGAAUGACUUUGGAGUAAGAUUUUGGUUUGGAGAAUUAUUAUAGUCAGUUAUUCGGAGCUUACUGAAGAAUGAAAGACAAAAGUUUGCAAGUUCUGAUUGUUCAAUCUGACUUUGUCUUCAAAAUCUCGAACACUUCAUAUUGUACUAGUUCCACUGUUCACUAUCACUGUUAUAAUUGUUCCAAAACAAAGUAUGUUCUAUUUUAAUUGUUUUAAUUUUUAACUGUUUGGUUUCACUGAACUUCUUAAUAUAUGUAGUUAAGUUUUAAUUUCUUUUUUUUUUUCCUUCAAACUCAUGUUUGAACAAGAAAAAUACAUAGAAAAGAACUCUAUCAAAAAACAAAAGAUAUAAUCUUAUACAUAUGCAAACUCAUACACAUUGUCGCUGUUUGUUGUUUUGUAUGAUUAUUAUUGUGCCAAAAGCAUAAAUUCUUGGCCAAGGAAAACUUGUCUAAUUACAACAAUUGAUAGCAGUUAUUUCUAUGACUAUAUAUUGAAACAAAUUAUUUAAAAAUAUAUAAUGGAAACAAUGAGAAUGAUAUUUACUGAAAAAAAAAAAUACUGAAAAAACAUUUCAAACAAUUAAAAUGAUCAGUUUCAUAACUCGUUCCCUCCUUAACUUGUUGCACUGCCAUAAAGGGGUAUGUGAGCAGUCAUAACUAUAUUCAAAACUUCUGGAUUGGGAUAGACUUCUGCCCCUGCUAGUCUAAAAAAAAAAAAAGAAAGAAAGAAAGAGAAAAGGCCAAACCAUAAUAAACAUCUUGC